UAAGAAUUUAAAAGUCGAACAGACUUAUUAAUAAGAACUCUACCUCUUAUAAUUUUCUUAAUUCAACAUCGAGGUCGCAAAAUAUAAUAUAGAUACGAACUCCCCAUUAAAAUUACGCUGUUAUCCCUAAGGUAACUUAAUCUUUUUAUCCUAAACGUUAAUUAUAGGGAUCUAAAGUCACACAAAUUAGUGAAUUUCUAAACUAAAGUUAAAUUAUUUAAUUGCCACCCCAGCAAAAUAUAAAUAAAUAUUAUUAAAUAUACAAAGAAUAAAAUCUAAUAAAAUAAACCUAUAUAAAGUUCUAUAGGGUCUUAUCGUCCCAAUAAUCUAUUAAAGCAUUUUAACUUUAAAUUUAAAUUUUAAUAUUAAAAAAAAUAAAAUACAUUUCUCAUACAUCCUUUCAUACAAGCUUUCAAUUAAAAAACUAUUUACUAUGCUACCUUUGCACAGUCAAAAUACUGCAGCCAUUUAGGAACUUUCCCAUAGGGCAGAAGAUACUUUUUAUAAAAACA
rnacentral:rRNA from 1 species